rnacentral:lncRNA from 10 species
AUUAGAUCCCAUUUGUCAAUUUUGGCUUUUAUUGCCAUUGCUUUUGGUGUUUCAGACAUGAAGUCCUUGCCCAUGCCUAUGUCCUGAAUGGUAAUGUCUAGGUUUUCUUCUAGGGUUUUUAUGGUUUUAGGUCUAACGUUUAAGUCUUUAAUCCAUCUUGAAUUAAUUUUUGUAUAAGCUGUAAAGAAGGGAUCCAGUUUCAGCUUUCUACAUAUGGCUAGCCAGUUUUCCCAGCACCGUUUAUUAAAUAGGGAAUCCUUUCCCCAUUGCUUGUUUUUCUCAGGUUUGUCAAAGAUCAGAUAGUUGUAGAUAUGUGGCGUUAUUUCUGAGGCCUCUGUUCUGUUCCAUUGAUUUAUAUCUCUGUUUUGGUACCAGUACCAUGCUGUUUUGGUUACUGUAGCCUUGUAGUAUAGUUUGAAGUCAGGUAGUGUGAUGCCUCCAGCUUUGUUCUUUUGGCUUAGGAUUGACUUGGAGAUGUGGGUUCCUUUUUGGUUCCAUAUGAACUUUAAAGUAGUUUUUUUCCAAUUCUGUGAAGAAAGGCAUUGGUAGCUUGAUGGGGAUGGCAUUGAAUCUAUAAAUUACCUUGGGCAGUAUGGCCAUUUUCACAAUAUUGAUUCUUCCUACCGAUGAGCAUGGAAUGUUCUUCCAUUUGUUUGUAUCCUCUUUUAUUUCCUUGAGCAGUGGUUUGUAGUUCUUCUUGAAGAGGUCCUUCACGUCCCUUGUAAGUUGGAUUCCUAAGUAUUUUAUUCUCUUUGAAGCAAUUGUGAAUGGGAGUUCACUCAUGAUUUGGCUCUCUGUUUGUCUGUUAUCGGUGUAUAAGAAUGCUUGUGAUUUUUGUACAUUGAUUUUGUAUCCUGAGACUUUGCUGAAGUUGCUUAUCAGCUUAAGGAGAUUUUGGGCUGAGACAAUGGGGUUUUCUAUACAUACAGUCAUGUCGUCUGCAAACAGGGACAAUUUGACUUCCUCUUUUCCUAAUUGAAUACCCUUUAUUUCCUUAUCCUGCCUAAUUGCCCUGGCCAGAACUUCCAACACUAUGUUGAAUAGGAGUGGUGAGAGAGGGCAUCCCUGUCUUGUGCCAGUUUUCAAAGGGAAUGCUUCCAGUUUUUGCCCAUUCAGUAAACAUGGAAAAAUAGCAAAUUAGAGACAGUGGGUAUUAACAAUUGCAUAUAUCACAAUAAAUGUAUGUUUAAUCUCAGGAAUGCAUGGCAGUUCUGUCUUUAGAAAAUGUAUUUUUUGUAUUUUUAUCAAUUUAGAGAUGCCCUUUUAAAAAAACAUAUUACAAAUUGGAAUAUUCAAAGGGCAGCUGUUUUAUUUUCUUCCUUGCUGAAACAUAAAAU